rnacentral:rRNA from 1 species
GAACCUGCGGAGGGAUCAUUACCGAG